GGGUGAGUAACACGUAUGCAACCUGUCCGGUACAGGGGGAUAAGCGGCGGAAACGCCGUCUAAUACCGCGUGACAACCCGAGGGGGCAUCCCCUUGGGUUCAAAGGAGAGAUCCGGUACCGGCUGGGCAUGCGGCGCAUUAGCUAGUUGGCGGGGCAACGGCCCACCAAGGCGACGAUGCGUAGGGGUUCUGAGAGGAAGGUCCCCCACACUGGAACUGAGACACGGUCCAGACUCCUACGGGAGGCAGCAGUGAGGAAUAUUGGUCAAUGGGCGCAAGCCUGAACCAACCAAGUCGCGUGAGGGAAGACGGCCCUACGGGUUGUAAACCUCUUUUGCCGGGGAGCAAGCCUGAGCACGUGUGCCCAGGCGGAGAGUACCCGGAGAAAAAGCAUCGGCUAACUCCGUGCCAGCAGCCGCGGUAAUACGGAGGAUGCGAGCGUUAUCCGGAUUUAUUGGGUUUAAAGGGUGCGCAGGCGGGCUGUUAAGCCGGCGGUAAAAAUUCAGGGCUCAACCCUGUCGAGCCGUCGGAACUGGCAGUCUUGAGUGGGCGAGAAGUAUGCGGAAUGCGUGGUGUAGCGGUGAAAUGCAUAGAUAUCACGCAGAACGCCGAUUGCGAAGGCAGCAUACCGGCGCCCAACUGACGCUGAGGCACGAAAGCGUGGGGAUCGAACAGGAUUAGAUACCCUGGUAGUCCACGCAGUAAACGAU
rnacentral:rRNA from 1 species